UGCAAGUCGAACGAUCACUAUUGGGUAGCAAUAUUCGGUAGUGGGAGUGGCGCAAGGGUGCGUAACACGUGGGUAAUUUGCCGUAAAGUCUGGGAUAACUUGCUGAAAGACGAGCUAAUACCGGAUGUGAUUGCUGGAGGGCAUCCUCUGGCACUUAAAGUCGGGGACCGUAAGGCCUGACACUUUUCGAUAAGCCCGCGGCCUAUCAGCUAGUUGGUGAGGUAACGGCUCACCAAGGCUAAGACGGGUAGCUGGUCUGAGAGGACGACCAGCCUCACUGGAACUGAGACACGGUCCAGACACCUACGGGUGGCAGCAGUCGAGAAUUUUUCUCAAUGGGGGAAACCCUGAAGGAGCGACGCCGCGUGGGGGAUGAAUGGCUUCGGCCCGUAAACCCCUGUCAUUUGCGAUCAAACCUUACGACCUAACACGUCGUGAGCUGAUAGUAGCGGAAGAGGAAGGGACGGCUAACUCUGUGCCAGCAGCCGCGGUAAUACAGAGGUCCCAAGCGUUGUUCGGAUUCACUGGGCGUAAAGGGUGCGUAGGCGGUCGGGUAAGUCUGACGUGAAA
rnacentral:rRNA from 1 species